CAGCACCUCAAGUGGUCAGGAUGAUUAUUGGGCCUAAAGCAUCCGUAGCCGGCGCUGUAAGUUUUCGGUUAAAUCUGUACGCUCAACGUACAGGCUGCCGGGAAUACUGCAGCGCUAGGGAGUGGGAGAGGUAGACGGUACUCGGUAGGAAGGGGUAAAAUCCUUUGAUCUAUUGAUGACCACCUGUGGCGAAGGCGGUCUACCAGAACACGUCCGACGGUGAGGGAUGAAAGCUGGGGAAGCAAACCGGAUUAGAUACCCGAGUAGUCC
rnacentral:rRNA from 1 species